GUGAAGGCAUCUGAGUUUUCUGAAGGCCAAGAGGAAGAGAAAGAUGAUACUAGAACUGGAGAGUCUGAUCCAGGCUUCAAAAUCGCAUCGAUGAUUUACCAGAGAAACCCUGCUGAUUUUAACAUGCCGGGAGUAGGAAACAGGUACAUGAUUAGAGGUGAAGACCUACAAUUUGGGAAGCAGAUUCCUUUUUCAAGGAGGCAUGGCUUAGUUAAAGUGGAUCAGCACAAGUGGCAGAGAAAUAUGAAAGCCCUCUACCAAAAAGGAAACGUAGAUACCACAUUGAAUUUGAGGAGGGAAAUUUUUUCCAAGAAAAGGCACGUGAAGUGGAUGAAGAGUCAAAUGAAAUGAUUCUUAGAACAAGAAAUGUUGAGACACAAGGAGAAAUAGUGCUCAACUUGCAUGGAAAAGUUUUCCAAGAAAAGACAAGUGAAGUAGAUAAUGAGUCAAAUGAAAUGAUUCUUAG